CCUACGGGAGGCAGCAGUGAGGAAUAUUGGUCAAUGGGCGUAAGCCUGAACCAGCCAAGUCGCGUGAGGGAUGAAGGUUCUAUGGAUUGUAAACCUCUUUUAUAAGGGAAUAAAGUGCGGGACGUGUCCCGUUUUGUAUGUACCUUAUGAAUAAGGAUCGGCUAACUCCGUGCCAGCAGCCGCGGUAAUACGGAGGAUCCGAGCGUUAUCCGGAUUUAUUGGGUUUAAAGGGUGCGUAGGCGGCCUUUUAAGUCAGCGGUGAAAGUCCGGGGCUCAACCAUAGAAUUGCCGGUGAGACUGGGAGGCUUGAGUAUGUUUGAGGCAGGCGGAAUGCGUGGUGUAGCGGUGAAAUGCUUAGAUAUCACGCAGAACCCCGAUUGCGAAGGCAGCCUGCCAAGCCAUGACUGACGCUGAUGCACGAAAGCGUGGGGAUCAAACAGGAUUAGAUACCCUGGUAGUC
rnacentral:rRNA from 1 species